rnacentral:rRNA from 1 species
AUUGAACGCUGGCGGCAGGCCUAACACAUGCAAGUCGAGCGGCAGCACGGGUACUUGUACCUGGUGGCGAGCGGCGGACGGGUGAGUAAUGCCUAGGAAUCUGCCUGGUAGUGGGGGAUAACGCUCGGAAACGGACGCUAAUACCGCAUACGUCCUACGGGAGAAAGCAGGGGACCUUUGGGCCUUGCGCUAUCAGAUGAGCCUAGGUCGGAUUAGCUAGUUGGUGAGGUAAUGGCUCACCAAGGCGACGAUCCGUAACUGGUCUGAGAGGAUGAUCAGUCACACUGGAACUGAGACACGGUCCAGACUCCUACGGGAGGCAGCAGUGGGGAAUAUUGGACAAUGGGCGAAAGCCUGAUCCAGCCAUGCCGCGUGUGUGAAGAAGGUCUUCGGAUUGUAAAGCACUUUAAGUUGGGAGGAAGGGCAGUUACCUAAUACGUAUCUGUUUUGACGUACC